GUGCUCGCUUCCGCAGCACAUAUACUAAAAUUGGAACGAUACCGAGAAGGUUAGCAUGGCUCCUGCCCAAGGAUGACAUGCAAAUUUGUGAUGCAUUCUAUAUUAAA
rnacentral:snRNA from 1 species